AGCGUAGACGGCAAGGCAAGUCUGAUGUGAAAACCCAGGGCUUAACCCUGGGACUGCAUUGGAAACUGUCUGGCUCGAGUGCCGGAGAGGUAAGCGGAAUUCCUAGUGUAGCGGUGAAAUGCGUAGAUAUUAGGAAGAACACCAGUGGCGAAGGCGGCCUACUGGGCACCAACUGACGCUGAGGCUCGAAAGUGUGGGUAGCAAACA
rnacentral:rRNA from 1 species